CCUACGGGUGGCAGCAGUCGAGAAUUAUUCACAAUGGGGGAAACCCUGAUGGUGCGACGCCGCGUGGGGGAAUGAAGGUCUUCGGAUUGUAAACCUCGGUCAUGUGGGAGCAAAUUAAAAAGAUAGUACCACAAGAGGAAGAGACGGAUAACUCUGUGCCAGCAGCCGCGGUAAAACAGAGGUCUCAAGCGGUGUUCGGAAUCACUGGGCUUAAAGGGUGCGUAGGCUGUGUCGUAAGUCCUGUGUGAAAGGCGCGGGCUCAACCCGCGGACGGCACAUGAUACUGCGAGACUAGAGUACAGGAGAGGGAGCCGGAAUUCGCGGUGUAGCAGUGAAAUGCGUAGAUAUCGAGAGGAACACUCAUGGCGAAGGCGGGUUCCUGGACAUUAACUGACGCUGAGGCACGAAGGCCAGGGGAGCGAAAGGGAUUAGAUACCCUUGUAGUC
rnacentral:rRNA from 1 species